GAUGAACGCUGGCGGCGUGCCUAAUACAUGCAAGUCGAGCGAACAGACGAGGAGCUUGCUCCUCUGACGUUAGCGGCGGACGGGUGAGUAACACGUGGAUAACCUACCUAUAAGACUGGGAUAACUUCGGGAAACCGGAGCUAAUACCGGAUAACAUGUUGAACCGCAUGGUUCAACAGUGAAAGACGGUCUUGCUGUCACUUAUAGAUGGAUCCGCGCCGCAUUAGCUAGUUGGUAAGGUAACGGCUUACCAAGGCAACGAUGCGUAGCCGACCUGAGAGGGUGAUAGGCCACACUGGAACUGAGCCACGGUCCAGACUCCUACGGGAGGCAGCAGUAGGGAAUCUUCCGCAAUGGGCGAAAGCCUGACGGAGCAACGCCGCGUGAGUGAAGAAGGUCUUCGGAUCGUAAAACUCUGUUAUUAGGGAAGAACAAAUGUGUAAGUAACUAUGCACGUCUUGACGGUACCUAAUCAGAAAGCCACGGCUAACUACGUG
rnacentral:rRNA from 1 species